rnacentral:lncRNA from 1 species
UAAGUUGGUUAAUUAUGGAAAAUUUCAAAAUAUUUCUAUAGUUUUUAAAUUCCAUGUCAAAUCAAACUACAUCACAUGAAUUGGGACGAGGGAGUAGUAGUAAUGGACAAUCUCCAUUCUCUAACCUCAAUUUCCCUAUUGGCUAUUGUCUGUUGGGUUGGAUUUUGUUUUGUUCAUCAAAUAUUUUCAAAUAUCAAAGUUUCGUUUUUUAAAUUUUAACUUCUGUUAUUGCUGAAAAACCGUAGGCAUGAAUCAAAAUUUAUUGAAAGUAUUAUAAAACAAGUUCUGCAAGAGGCCAACCAGACACCUCUAGAUGUUGCUCAUUACCCAACUUGGAUUAGAUUCUCCUAUCGAGCAUAUAGAGUUGUUACUGCAAAGUGGAUGUGAGCAUGAAGUUCGCAUGGUUGGUAUAUGUGGCGUUUGGUGGAAUUGGAAAAACAACUCUGGCAAAAGCUAUCUACAAUCGAAUAUUUCAACAGUUUGGUGGUAGUUGCUUUCUUUCAGACAUUAGAUCAAAAGCUGAAGAAUUGGGUCUAGUCAAGCUACAAGAAAAAGUACUUUGUCAAAUUCUCAAAACUAAGGAAUUCAAAGUUGAUAGUGUUGCUGAAGGUGUCAAUCUAAUCAAAGCAAGACUUGGGUCAAAGAAGGUUCUAAUUGUUCUUGAUGACGUGGAUCAUAGAAGCCAAUUAGAAUCCUUAACAAGAGAAAGAAGUUGGUUUGGCUCUGGUAGUGUAAUAAUUAUUACAACCCGAGACGAGCAUUUGCUAUAUGGGCUUACAACAAGUGAGAUAUACAGGGCCAAACUUUUAAAUGACAAUGGAGCUCAACAACUUUUUUCUUGUCAUGCUUUUAACAGUCUUUCUCCACCACAUGAAUAUUUUGAGCUGGCCCAAAACAUAAUUAAAUAUUCAGGUGGGCUACCAUUAGCUCUUGUGACAUUGGGGUCACAUUUUCAAGGGAGAUCCGUAGAAGAAUGGAGAAACGAGUUCAAAAAACUAAGAACAAUUCCUCAUUUUGAUAUUCAAAAGAUUCUCCAGAUAAGCUUUGAUGGACUUGAUGAUAAUACUCAGGGUGUUUUCCUUGAUAUUGCAUGCGCCUUCCAUGGAUGUGAUGAGGAUGAAGUUACCAAAACAUUAAACGCCUGUGGUUUUUAUUGUGAAAGUGCAAUUGCAACUCUAGUCAAAAGACACUUGCUCCAAAGGGAUUGGCGUUGUUUGGUGAUGCAUGAUCUUGUGCGGGAUAUGGGAAGAGAAAUUGUUCGCAGGGAAUCACCUCAAGACUCUGGGAAACGGAGUAGAUUGUUCAACCCUCAAGAAGUCCAUGACAUUCUACAAGGAAAUAAAGUAAGUAAAUUUCAUUAUCUUUAUCUUGGUUAUACUUUCUUCUCUUUUUUUUUUUCAUUUAAUUUGAUAUACAUUUGCUUAUAAUUUAGGUUGUCACCACUCACCACAAGAACUCAAUUCAUUUGUGCUUAAUUCUUCUUUGGAUAGUAAAUUAUCUCUAGUUGUUUGCCAACCACUCUCUCCUAAUUUCUCGUACUUUUCUUUUUACUAAAUUACAGGGUUCCGAAAAUAUAGAAGUAUUGGUGUUAGAACGACAUGCAUUAAAGGGUGUGAAGCUGAGCACAAAAGCAUUUCAGAAAAUGAUAAAACUUAGGGUGCUUAAAAUCGACGACUUACAUAUUAGUGGAGAUUUUGAGCUAUUGUCCAAGGAGCUCAGAUGGUUGUCUUGGAAAGGAUGUCCUUUAAAAUGUAUACCAUCAAAUUUUCCAGCUGAGAAACUUGUAAUCCUGAAUAUGAAAGGGAGCAAUAUCGAAGAAUUUGGUUUGAAUUUGCAGGUUCGUUACUCAAUUCUGCAAUUUGAUGUGUACUGUUAUAUUGCAACUACGUGAAGGAAAAUCUUAAUUGAAAUUAUAUUUUGUUUACUUCUUAGUAUUGUAGAAGUUUGAAGGAGCUGAAUCUUUCUAAUUGCAAACACCUCAGAAGUACUCCAAACUUCAGGGGUUCACGAAGUCUUGAAACUUUGUCGCUUGAGAAUUGCUCAAGUCUAAAGAAGAUCCAUCCAUCAAUAGGAAUUUGGAAAGACUAAUUGAUCUUCAAUUGAGUGGUUGCAAAAAGAUUACGGAUCUUCCGAGCAGCAUAUGCCAGCUAAAAUCCCUUGAAUACUUGAACAUUAAUUUCUGCUCAUCUUUACAAACACUGCCAGUUGACAUUGGAGAUAUGCAAAGCCUAACUCAUCUUUGUGCAUGGGGUACGGGUAUAAAACAGUUGCCUGGAUCUGUUGAAAUGUUGAGAAAUCUUAAAAAAUUGCGAGUGGGAGAUGAAACUUUAGAGGCCGAAAGGAGUUUUUCUCGAAGAAGAGUCCGCCGCAUAGAAUCCUUAUCUAAUUUUAUUUCGAAUAUAUGUCUUGCAUACUGUGGUUUCUCUGAGGCUGAUAUUCCUAGGGAUAUUGGGAGAUUAUCCAACUUACAUCAUUUAGAUUUGAGGGGCAACAAUUUCCUCUAUCUACCCUUUGAUUUUUCCAAGUUACCAUUGUUGGUGUUCUUGUAUUUGAAUGAUUGUAAGAAUCUUCAAACACUCCCGUCAAUAUCAAAUUUAGAGAAGCUUAAAAUUCUUUAUCUUAGGAAUUGCCAAAAACUGGUCAAGAUUACAGAUUUGGACAACCUCCCUUCAAUAGAGAGGAUCGACAUGAAUAAUUGUACUUCCCUGCAGAAUCCAUUCAAUGAAGGCUUCUUUAGUACCCCUGCUCUAUCAAUUCCAUCUAGAAAACAUCCACUGCAUCAGGAGGUUAGUCCCUCUCCUUCUCUCUGAUCUCUCUCUCGUAUCACAUUAUUAAUUAAUGAUCUAAUUGUGUCUUAAUUUGUCUGAUGAAGCAGCAGGUACAAAUUUAUCUUGAAAGCAAUGAGAUUCCAGAUUGGUGCAGCAAUAAAGUAACAGCUCCAUCUAUUUGUUUCACUAUGCCCACACUACAUACUAAUGACUAUAAGUUGUUAGGAAUGGUUCUCUGGUUUGUUUGCCACUUUUGCAAUGUACCCAUCCGUCUUCAACACUUUGUUGUUACUGUUGCCCAUAUAAAGCGUUCAGAUUUUUAUUUUAGUUGGGAUACUGAUAAACCUGACAGUGGAGAAGUAUCAUGUGUAUAUUACAUCCCUUGCUCAAACGAUACACCUUUUAAAGGCCUGAACAUCAAAGGCGGGGAACAGAUAAGAGUAGAGGAUCGCACUGGCGGAGCCAUAGUAAAGAAGAUAGGAGUACAUCUGUUAUAUUUAGACCAACAUGGCAAUGUUACUUCUUUCCCGGCAAAAAAAGUAUUAGAAGAAAAGAAGACAAAAAGAAAAAGGAAAAUGAUGUUUGGUGGCAGCCGUGGACGACUAUUGGUGUUCCCCAUUUCCAGAAAAACUUCAGCAAGGCAUAAAAGAGCAAAGUUCUGAUAGUUUUCCUUUGGAUAAAGCUGGGGAAUGAGUGAUGACUGAAUCGACUUUUUUCCAUUUGUAUACUGCUAGUUUCUUGAACUGCACUAAACCUUAGUUAAAAGAAUUGAAUAUGUAUAGUGAAUAUCUAUCUGUUUCACUAUUCCCACAGUACAUAAUAAUAAGUUGUUAGGAAUGGUUCUCUGGUUUGUUUGCGACUCUAAGAUUUUAUCAGAUUUUGGACACUUCCUUAUUGCUGUAUCCAAUAAAAAGCCUUUAGUUUUUUUUUACUGGACUAGGUAUCCCGAAUUACACGGGGAAGUAUCAUGUGUAUAUUACUUAUCUUUCUCAAAUGGUAGACCUUUUAAAGGCCUUAAGAUCAAAGGCGGGGAACAGAUAACAGUAGAGGAUGGCACUGACGGAGGCAUAAUAAAGAAGCUAGAUAGGAGUACAUCUGUUAUAUUUAGAUCAACAUGGUAAUGUUAUAUCUUUCCCCGCAGUUGUGGAUCAUUCUUAUACUCCCAAACCACCACAAAGAUGCAUCUUUAAGGUAAGACAGAUGGACUAUAUCAAUCAUGAAUUUUCAGAUGGACGAUGCUACUUUAGCAAGGUUUCUAACGAGGUUUGACUGUACUAGUAUAAUGUGAAACCAUCAUAUAUCGUAAAAGGUGAAGCAUUUUCAUCACACUCAGCACAACAACUCCUCUUUUUCCAGUUCUUUCUUCCUGUGUAUUUGGCAUCUUAUCUUUCUUGUUCCAUUUAUAGACGAUUAUCCAUCGAUUCCUUGGUGAGGUGGUGCAAGGGAAAAUAGUCCUUUAUCUCCUGCAAUGCUCAAAUGCAACAAAUCCAUACGGAUAUGAUGAUCAAAACUGAAUAGUGUUGAGGUGUGAAGAUGAGAUAUGUCAAUUAGGAGUUAGUUAAGCUGUUGAAAGUCUAUUAAAGAUUAAGAAGGACAUUGUGGUCAUUUGGAGAUAGAGUUGUAUCUAUAUACUCUAUCAUGAUCAUCCAUGUACAACACUCACUUGAAAUGAGAAUCAAUGUAGACACUUCUUUUAACCUCUCAUUUGAGUUCAUACAUUUUACGAACAAAUAGCCACGAAAGAAAUUAAACGAAUAGAAGCUAGAGGGUGUGUUUGGUAUGAAGGAAAACACUUUCCGGAAAAUAUUUUCCAAUUUUCUCAUGUUUGAUUGGGUAAAAUGUUUUCCAAAUCAACUCAUUUUCCUCAAAUUUAAGGAAAAUGACUUCCCUUCAAAAAUUAAGGAAAAUAUUUUCCAAAACUCUCCUCCAACUUCAAAUUACAAUUUUUUUUUUGAAAAAAAUAAACUUAAAGCUUAUUAAAAAAUAUAUAUUUUCAACUUCAAUCUUUAAUUUUUUUACCCCAUCCUCACCCCCUNNNNNNNNNNNNNNNNNNNNNNNNNNNNNNNNNNNNNNNNNNNNNNNNNNNNNNNNNNNNNNNNNNNNNNNNNNNNNNNNNNNNNNNNNNNNNNNNNNNNNNNNNNNNNNNNNNNNNNNNNNNNNNNNNNNNNNNNNNNNNNNNNNNNNNNNNNNNNNNNNNNNNNNNNNNNNNNNNNNNNNNNNNNNNNNNNNNNNNNCCCCACCCUCCCCCCAAAAAAAUUAAGUUUAUUUUUAAAAAAUAUUUUCAGUUUCAAUUCAAAAAUUAUUUUCUACUCCCUACUAAAAAUAAAAGAUAUUUUCUCAAAAAUAUUUUUCAUUCAUAAAUCAAACACACAAAAAUCUUUUCCGAAAAAUAUUUUCUAUUCACUAACCAAACAUGAGAAAUAAGUCCAAAGUCUAUUUGUUUUCCAGGAAAACAUUUUCCUUCAAACCAAACACACCCAGAAUGACAAAUAUUUUCUAAUUUGAUUUCCCUUUUUACUUGUUUUUUUUUUUUUGGACAAAUCAAGGAAGAACAAUUAUUUUCUUCCGACUAUACCCUUAAUUUAUUAACAUUAAAUUAAUGUCUUUGAAAAAUGUAAUGAGUAAAUAUGUUUAAGAUUCUAUCAUUUAAUAGAGAUAAAAUGAUUAACUCAUUUUACCAAUUAUUUUAUCUUAAUAGGGUAUGUGACAUACCAUAUGUCAAGUCAAAAUUUAACAAGUAUUUAAAAGGGACGAAAAAAGUAUAUACUUUGUGAAUUGAGAUUUAUGUCCUUGCUUUGAAUACUUGUUAAUCAGUUAAAAAGAAAUGAUCCCACUUCGUGCAGCGUACGUACUGCAUUGAACAACGAUUUAGGUGCAUUUAGCGGCAAAUUUGAGAGUUUUCAAUUUUGACUAGUUCUUGAGAUGUUAAAUAAUUCCAAAUAAUAUUAAUUUGAUUUUCAUGACCAAAUACCAACUUGUUGAUCUCAAUUACGUAAAAUCUCUAUAGAAGAUAACCAAAGAAUGUCUCUAAGUCAACUACUGGUUAGACUAUUCAAAAAGAAGAACUUAUAUUAUAAGAAAAUAUUCAAAAAGAAGAACUUAUAUUAUAAGAAAAUAUUCAAAAAGAAGAACUUAUAUUAUAAGAAAAUAUUCAAAAAGAAGAACUUAUAUUAUAAGAAAAUAUUCAAAAAGAAGAACUUAUAUUAUAAGAAAAUAUUCAAAAAGAAGAACUUAUAUUAUAAGAAAAUAUUCAAAAAGAAGAACUUAUAUUAUAAGAAAAUAUUCAAAAAGAAGAACUUAUAUUAUAAGAAAAUAUUCAAAAAGAAGAACUUAUAUUAUAAGAAAAUAUUCAAAAAGAAGAACUUAUAUUAUAAGAAAAUAUUCAAAAAGAAGAACUUAUAUUAUAAGAAAAUAUUCAAAAAGAAGAACUUAUAUUAUAAGAAAAUAUUCAAAAAGAAGAACUUAUAUUAUAAGAAAAUAUUCAAAAAGAAGAACUUAUAUUAUAAGAAAAUAUUCAAAAAGAAGAACUUAUAUUAUAAGAAAAUAUUCAAAAAGAAGAACUUAUAUUAUAAGAAAAUAUUCAAAAAGAAGAACUUAUAUUAUAAGAAAAUAUUCAAAAAGAAGAACUUAUAUUAUAAGAAAAUAUUCAAAAAGAAGAACUUAUAUUAUAAGAAAAUAUUCAAAAAGAAGAACUUAUAUUAUAAGAAAAUAUUCAAAAAGAAGAACUUAUAUUAUAAGAAAAUAUUCAAAAAGAAGAACUUAUAUUAUAAGAAAAUAUUCAAAAAGAAGAACUUAUAUUAUAAGAAAAUAUUCAAAAAGAAGAACUUAUAUUAUAAGAAAAUAUUCAAAAAGAAGAACUUAUAUUAUAAGAAAAUAUUCAAAAAGAAGAACUUAUAUUAUAAGAAAAUAUUCAAAAAGAAGAACUUAUAUUAUAAGAAAAUAUUCAAAAAGAAGAACUUAUAUUAUAAGAAAAUAUUCAAAAAGGAGAAAAAAAAAGUGAAGGGAGAAGAAAGAGGAGGUAAAUAGCGUGUAGAUUUAUGAUACGUUAAGUAAGCAAUAUAUUUGUUUAUGUAAUAAAUUAAUGGGAAAAUGCAUAAGUACCCCCAGCCUAUACCCAAAAUUCCCGAGACACACCUAACCUUUACUAAGGUCCUAUUACCCCCCUGAACUUAUUUUAUAUAUAAUUUUUUACCCCUUUUCAGCCUACGUGGCACUAUCUUGUGGGCCCAAUGCGUGUUGACAUUUUUUUCAAGGAUAGUGCCACGUAGGCCAAAAAGGGGUAGAAAAUUAAUAAAAAAAUAAGUUCAGGGGUAAUAGGACCUUAGUAAAGGUUAGGUGUGUCUCAGGGGUUUCGGACAUAGGCUGGGGGGUACUCAUGCAUUUUCCCUAAAUUAAUUGCAAAGAAUCAAUUAGGAAUUUGUUUGAAAAUAGAAUUAAGUACUCUCUUCCUCUCAUAUUAGUUAAUCAUUAUAUUAAAAAUAAUUAUCUUAUAUUAAUAUUUUCUAUAUUAUCCUAAUAAUUAAUUUUUUUUAAAAGUGUUCAUAUUUGCUUAUAAAAUUCCAAAAUAUUUUUUGAAAGGGUGAAUUAAUAAAAUUAUCUUUGUAUUUAUGAUUUUUUAAGCAUCAUACAAAAUGAAAAGUGAUCAACUAAUAGGACAGAGGAAGUAUUAGAUUACGCACUCUGUGUUAUCCAAAUAUUAUCAUUUUAUUUAUUGCUAAUGAAUAUGUGUCAUCAUACUGGACAAAUUAAAAUGAACGAACGUCCCAAUAGCAAAUUAAAUUUCUUACUUGGGAUCAACAAGGACGCAGUAGCAAGUACUCCUUCAUCCUUAAUCAGACUCUCGGGUUUGAGUUUCCUUUGGUAUAAACUCCCUUUUUUUAGAGAGCGUUUUACCUUCAAUGUGGAACUUUCCGAUGCAAAUCUAAAUUUAAUCAGGUUCCAAUGUGGUACGAACAAUAAGUGGAAAAUCAAAUCAAACAAAAAAAAAAAAAAAUUCUUAUUUUUGAAGGAUCUGAUACGAAUAUAGCAACAUUUUCGAAGAAUCUGAGUAACCUAGAUUAAAAGAACAUAUUAAAAAGGAAUAAAAGUGAAAGAUGAGGCAAAUAGCGUGUAAAAUACCAAAAUAUGAUAAUCUUAAUAAAGGCAUAGUGGAACAUCAUGACAUAUUUGUUGUAUUUUUUUUUAUUUUUAAUAAAGAAGAAGAGGAAAGGCCAGAAGUUGUAAAAUUUGUUGCAAUACUAUAUUUGUUCUGCAAUAAAUUAAUCACAAAGAUAUAGAAACGGUCCAAUUCAAUAAAUUAUUCACUUUGUGUGUAAUCGUAAUAUUGUUAUUUAUUUAUUGUUAAUGAAUGUAUAUCGUUAUACUGGACAAAUUAAAAUGAACCAAGGGUGAGAGUAAACAACUAAAUUUCAUAGGACUUGGGAGGUAUCUUGCAUAAGUGAGCUUUAAUUUAUUGGUUUCAUCCAUGAAUACUCAAGGAGAAUCAUCUUCUACUUCUUCUAACUUCUCUUAUGAUGUGUUUCUCAGUUUUAGAGGUGAAGAUACUCGUAAAAACUUCACUGGUCAUCUUUAUUUCCGAUUAUGUCAAGUCGGAGUUAAUACUUUCAUAGAUGAUGAGGAAUUGAGAAAAGGAGACGUCAUUUCAAACAAACUUGACAAAGCAAUUGAACAAUCAAGGUUGCCAUUGUUGUUUUCUCCAAAAAUUAUGCUUCGUCUAGUUGGUGUCUUAAUGAACUCGAUAAAAUUCUCGAUUGCAGAGAGAGGUUAAAGCAGGUAGUUUUGCCUAUUUUCUAUGAUGUUGAUCCUUCUCAAGUGCGAAAGCAAACUGGGUCCUUUGGCGAAGCUUUGGCAAAACACAAGGAACGAUCAUUUGGAGUUCAAAGAGUGGAGAAUUGGAAAGCAGCACUGACUGAAGCUGCGAAUUUAUCUGGAUGGGAUUUGCGAAAUAUUGCUGAUGGGUAAAACUUCUUAAUUUAAUUAUAGAAUUUUGAAUUUAAGAAUUUGCUUAAGCUUAUAAGUUGGUUAGUUUUGAAACAUUGCAAAGUCUUUCAAUAUUUCUUAAAACUCAGGGCCCAAUCGUCGAUAAUCUGGUAAAAUAACAGCAAUUAACCUUUUAAAUGUAGUUAGCAUUUACUAAUAGCAUAAAAAUAUCAAUAUGUAUAAAUAAAUUAUGUUCUCUAACCUCGAGUCCCUGUUAUCUGUUGGCUAUUGAUUUUGUUUUGUUCAUCAAAUAUUUUCAAAUAUCAAAGUAUUGUUUUGCUUUUUUUACUUUUAACUUUUGUUGUUGCUAUAAAAUUGUAGGCAUGAAUCAAAAUUUAUUGGAAGUAUUAUAAAACAAGUUCUACAAGAGGUCAAUCAGACACCUCUAGAUGUUGCUCAUUACCCAAUUGGAUUAGAUUCUUCUAUCCAACAUAUAGAGUUGUUACUGCAAAGUGGAUGUGAGCAUGAAGUGCACAUGGUUGGUAUAUGUGGCGUUGGUGGAAUUGGAAAAACAACUCUGGCAAAAGCUAUCUACAAUCGAAUAUUUCAGCAGUUUGAUGGUAGUUGCUUCCUUUCAGACGUUAGAUCAAAAAUUGAAGAAUUGGGUCUAGUCAAACUUCAAAAGAAACUACUUGAUCAAAUCCUCAAAGCUAAGGAAUUUGAAGUUGAUAGUGUUGCUGAAGGUGUUAAUCUCAUCAAAGCAAGACUUGGGUCUCAAUAGGUUCUAAUUGUUCUUGAUGACAUGGAUCAUAGAAGCCAAUUAGAAUCUUUAACAAGAGAAAGAAGUUGGUUUGGCUCUAGUAGUGUAAUAAUUAUUACAACCCGAGACGAGCAUUUGUUGUAUGGGCUUACAACAACUGAGAUAUACCAGGCCAAACUUUUACAUGACAACGAAGCUCAGCAAUUUUUUUCUCAUCAUGCUUUCAACAGUUUUUCUCCACCACGAGAAUAUGAUGAGCUGGCACAAGACAUAAUAAAAUAUUCAGGUGGGUUACCAUUAGCUCUUGUGACAUUAGGGUCACAUUUGCAAGGGAGAUCCAUAGAAGAAUGGAGACAUGAGUUCAAAAAACUAAGAGCAAUUCCUCAUUGUGAUAUUCAAAAGAUUCUCCAGAUAAGCUUUGAUGGACUUGAUGACAAUACUCAAAGUGUUUUCCUUGAUAUCACAUGCGCCUUCCAUGGAUGUUAUGAGGAUGAAGUGACCAAAACAUUAAAUGCGUGUGGUUUUUAUUCUGAAAGUGCAAUUUUGACCUUAAUCCAAAGGAACUUACUCCAAAGGGAUUGCCGUUAUUUGGUGAUGCAUGAUCUAGUGCGGGAUAUGGGAAGAGAAAUUGUUCGCUUGGAAUCACCUCGAGACUCAGGUAAACGGAGUAGAUUGUUCAACCCUC